rnacentral:rRNA from 1 species
UACGGAGGGUGCAAGCGUUAUCCGGAUUCACUGGGUUUAAAGGGUGCGUAGGAGGGCAGGUAAGUCAGUGGUGAAAUCUCCAAGCUUAACUUGGAAACUGCCGUUGAUACUAUCUGUCUUGAAUAUUUGUGGAGGUGAGCGGAAUAUGUCAUGUAGCGGUGAAAUGCUUAGAUAUGACAUAGAACACCAAUUGCGAAGGCAGCUCACUACUCAAUCAUUGACUCUGAGGCACGAAAGCGUGGGGAUCAAACAGG